rnacentral:rRNA from 1 species
UACGUAGGGUGCAAGCGUUGUCCGGAAUUAUUGGGCGUAAAGAGCUCGUAGGUGGCCUGUUGCGUCCGCUGUGAAAACCCGGGGCUUAACCCCUGGCUUGCAGUGGAUACGGACAGACUAGAGGUAGGUAGGGGAGAAUGGAAUUCCCGGUGUAGCGGUGAAAUGCGUAGAGAUCGGGAGGAACACCAGUGGCGAAGGCGGCUACCUGGACCAGCACUGACACUGAGGCACGAAAGCGUGGGGAGCAAACAGG